UGACUUAUAAACAACAGGAAUUUAUUUUUCACAAUUCUAGAGUGUGGGUGUCCAGGAUCAGGGUGCCAGCAGGGUCAGGUUCUGGUAGCUGCCAGCUUCUGGUUGUCUCUUCAUGUGGUGGAGGGCAGAGAGAGGGAGCAAAUCUCCUGGCUCCUAAAGGGCACUCAUCCCAUUCAUGAGGGCUCCCUUUAUGACCUCAUCCAAUUCCAGUUACCUCCCACAGGCCCCAUCUCCCAAUACCAUCACCUCGGGCAGUAAGGUUUCAACAUGUGAAUGUUGAGGGGACACAGAUGUUCAACCGGUAAAGAAAGGAGCCAGCUCCCUUAACAGCCUUGCCCUCUGUACGAGGAGAUACACAGAGAAACCAAACAUGCAGUUGCCUGCAUGGUCCUUACUGGUGUGUUUCAUGGUGUGUUUCCCCAAGGAUUCAGUUGCCUGGACCCAGAGCAGUGACUGACUCUGCUGAAUUAGAAAAGUGGAAAAACAUCUUUUUCCUGCCCAACAGCACCUUUCACCCUCUUUGCCAGCUUUAAGACUUCAAGACCACCUCCAAAAACUCCUGAAGGUGGUAUACAGAUUCCACUGUGUUUGGAAGAGGCAGGAUGGAGCACUAGAGAUAAAAAGAGAAAGGGAGAGACAGGAGAAAAGGAAGAAUGACCACUAUCCUGCAUAGCUGCCCAGCAUCUGCUAAGAAAAUAAAAAUGGCUAUAUCUGCAGCCAGAGGCUUGUACCAUCAACCACACACAGAUCAAUAUGUGUUUAUUGGCAUUGACUCUUCUUUUUGUCAGUUUCUUUUCAUUUUUUUCCUUUUGACUUUAAAAAUAGUCUCUUCUUUUAGGAGAGAAAGGGAUGUCCUUAAUUUAACUCUUACAAAUCUUAUCUAAUGCAUAGUUAUCCAGAGGCUUUACUUUAUUCAAAUGAGAGAUAUCAGUAAGUUUUAGGUUACUGAAAAGGAAAGAUGUGAUUUAUUAAAAUCAAAUGUUUUCAGAGUAUGAAAAGAUGUAACCUAGAAGAUAUGAUGGGGAGGAAUUCCACAGGCCUAUGGCAAUUUAAAUGUGUUCAAGCCAGUCUCAAAUGAAGGAUAUUUUAGAUUGUUCAUUACUAUCUAAAAGAAAAGGAAGAGGAAAAGGAGAAAAAAAGGAGAAGCAGCAAUUGCCAAGAGACAGUUGUUCAAUCCAAUAAAGUAAUGAUCUGUGCAAACUCUAAUUAUUGUAUUUGCAAAACAAUAUGUGUAUAAUUUGUGAACUUUCCCCCUCUCUUUCUAACACAAUAAAGGAUUCAUUUCAUAAAAACAUUUUGUGUUUCUUUAGAAGAUUUGGACAAAAACAAUGCAUCUUUAACUCUGAAAACACAAUAAUGGAUCCUUGAAAGAUUUAUCUGAAAUCAAAUGCAGUUGUCAUUCUAUAUCGAUUAUCUUGGCUAUUCAUUAUCAUAUCCAGUCCAUCAUUUAUAUGCAGAUGACGCUAUCACUUAUGGUAGUAGAUUAUGCUGGGAGGAAGCUUAAUAUUAUCUUCAAGCUGAUUUAAAUGAGCUUUAAGAUCAUCUGGCACAAUCUAACUUACUCUUAAAUAUUAAUGGAACAAAGAUCAUGUUAUUUGGCUCAAAACAAAAAUUGGGGGAAACUGAAAAACUGGCAUGCAGCAUGACCUUGUCGAAAAAUCUCAACUAUUCAAGAUUUGAGGUCUAUCCUGUCUUCACCUGAGACCAAAAAUAUAACUGAUUAGCAUGGAAGGAUGGAAGAAUCAAAACUUCUUAUUCAAGUACAUAUAGUUCUUAUAGUUCUUUUUCUUCUCCUUAAGAAAAAUUGUUUUCCAUCUCUGCAGUGUUGGAGUUAUGUGCCUUGGG
rnacentral:lncRNA from 1 species